rnacentral:lncRNA from 1 species
GGCUUUAAGUUGUACUAUUGAGACCAUACCACCAUAUCUUCAUUUAGUUUCUUUGGAAAUCUGAAGGUCUAAGAGGACGGUACAUGUGAGAAGCUGUGAAUCUACAACAAAAAACUAAACUAACUUCCAAACAAACAUUUCAAGUUUGGAAGCCACAAAGAAGCAGCCAAGAUCUCUCGUUGUAGUGCAGAUUCAAGAAAAUGGGCCGAAUGACCAUCACAACGACAUGUAGAAGCAGCAAAAAUAUAGGCUUGGUGUGUAACUGAUCAUGAAAGAUAGCCUGGUCAGUUUCUCCAUUGUUGGCUUAUACUGAGCAAGAAGAUCAGCCUGCAGAGAAGAAAAAUGAAGGACUGCUUUAUUCUGCGGUACAUCCACAAUAGUACAGACAAUAAAGUAGUUAAAUGUGUGCUAAGAUGUAAGACCUUUUAGAUCACUAUUUUAGUGAUCUAAAAGGUAAGCAGUGAUCUAAAAGAUCUUGUAUUAGUUUGAAAAGGGAGUACUUAAUAAGACUGUAAGUCAGUACAUCAAAGUAAUGCCGGCUUCCCAUUGAUUUGAUCAAACCAAUAUGACAAAGGGAAGGUGAAACUUCAGAAGACCAUAUAAAUUGACUGCGAUGUCUUAAUUAAAACUCUGAAAUGAAGUAAUAAACAUUAAGUCUGAAUGUUGUCACUAAAAAAGCAUAAAAAAGGCAGACCAGCCAGCGGUGCAUCAUAAUUAGUGGUUCAUCAUGGGCAAACCAGGCAGCAGUAGCCUAAUAACUUAGACGGAAAAAAUGCAAGAAGUCAAAGCACAAGGUGGGAAAUAGGACCGAGCAUUGACAGGUAACCAAAUAAUGAAGGAAUAUCCCCAGAGGAUGCAAGAGGUGAGAGAGGAGCACCUAGCAGAGGUUUGUGGACUACCUCUUUAUGCCACACCAUAUCCACAUCCCUAGCACUUGACGUACUUGCUGCUAUUGUCGUCUCUACCUUAUUUCCUCCAUUGCCGGUUCGUGGACUACCUCUUCAGGACACGCCGAAUACAUAUCCUCUCCUUCACCAGCUGGUAGUCUCGCCCUUGUAUAUGGUGUUAAAUUGCCAUUGUAAUAAAGCCCAUUAUAUGGUGUAUCAGUUGCAUGGAUGCACAAGGAAAGAUAAACCAGUGAAGGAAUUUAAAAGGAUCUAACAGCAUUUAUGGGUUUUUAUCAUUUUAAAGACAACAGGCUGUAAAGCAUGGCAAUGUUAAAAUAACCAAAAGCAAGGCAUGAACAAAUCAGUGAAGGGACUAUAAGCUGCAGGAAUAGACGUACCAUUGGAAAAUAACACAAAUCAUGCAAGUAUCCACUAUUUCAAAAUAGCUUCAAUAUCACUGGAAAAUACCUGUGGUCGCUUGAAUUGCCCAAAGGUGAAUGCCACUCAAGAUACAAGAGCUCUGAAUCAACUGAUCAUUGCAUAAUCCAGUUCACUGUACACAAUCCAUUGACAAAAAGAGUCACUACUUUCCUACCGAGAUUUCUCACGAAGUAAUGUAUCUGUCAUUUUUAGAUGGUACUUUUACAUGUAGUAUCUUACUCUAAUACUGCAUGGUUGACCUGCUUCCUUUCUGUAAAUACACAAUUGCACUAUUAGUGGUUGCACUGGCUGAUAUAUGUCAUUUUCCUGUAACCCCUAAAGAUAGAAUCGGUGAUCGGUGCAUACAAAUCUUGGUCCAAGCAAUGCAAAAUCAUGAUUAUGGUCUGUUCUGCAUACAUAUAUAGUGCAUGCUACUGAUAUUUAUCACAGUGUCUGCACCUAUUUCUUUCAAGUAUUUUUCUUGUCUUACUAUACUACUGCAUACAUAUACAAUGCUUACUACUGAUAUUUAUCACAGUGGCUGUACCUAUUUCUUUCAAGUAAUUUUCUUGUCAUACAAAAUCUACAGGUCUGAGUAACCUCCUCGACAGCUUGAGUGUACUGAACCUGAAUAUAUACUUGUGAUUUAGCGCUGACUUUACUACGUAUUUGAUUCGGUUCAUCAUCAAGAAUUCGGUUGCCACCAUACGCAGCAGUCGGACGAUCACCACAUAUGACUAUGAUUAGCUUUAACAAUGGGACAAAUAGUUUAAUUAGUUGUCAGCUUAGCAAGAAUCUUGCCAAUCCAUGGCAUUCAUCUCCUAAGACACAUCAAACAGUUGUGAAGAAGCAGUUACAUCAGGGUGGGGAUUGGAACAAGAGCUGAGAGAGAUGAGGAACAUACCUAGCAGAAAUCCAAUCUCGGUCCCUUUUUUUCUCAUCGUUGAUUACCACCUUUGCCAUUAGGAACACCUACAAAAUAUGUGUUUUCAACUCCUUAAUAUCUCACGAGAAAAUAGCAGAAAUCAAAAGGCAAUGAAACUGGACCUAAAUAGAUUGUUCAGAGAGAGAUCACCUUGUUCUUCACCAAGCUCUUCCUCAAGAUUCACCCACUUCUCUUUUUUUUCUCAGAUCUGCACACAUAUGUUUAGAAAAACCAUGAAUCAAGGAGUAAAAAUUGGGGAGGAAGAUGAAUUGGCCGAAGAUGGGCAAC